ensembl:lncRNA
AUGUACCUCACACACACCACAUACCUCACACACACACACACCAUGUACCUCACAUGCCACAUACCUCACACACACACCAUGUACCUCACACACACCAUGUACCUCACAUCCCCCCACAAACAUGCCCCCCACACACACCACACAUAUACCACAUACCUUACACACCAUGUACCUCACACACACCACACACACACGCCACAUACCUCAAUCCCCCCCACACACAAAUGCCCCUCACACACACCACACACCACAUACCUCACACACACACCAUGUACCUCACACACACCACAUACCUCACACACACACACCAUGUACCUCACACACACACCAUGUAUCUCACACGCCACAUACCUCACAUCCCCCCACAAACAUGCCCCCCCACACACACCACACAUAUACCACAUACCUUACACACACACACACCACAUACCUCAAUCCCCCCACACACAAAUGCCCCACACACACACCACAUACCUCACACACACACCAUGUACCUCACACACACCACAUACCUCACACCCCCCUACACAUGCCACACACACACCACAUACCCCCCCACACACACAAACCACAUACCUCACAUCCCCCCACACACUAAUGCCCCACACAUACCCCACACACACACCACAUACCACACACACACCACAUACCUCACACACACACCAUGUACCUCAUACACACCACAUACCUCACACAUACCAUGUACCUCACACACACCACAUACCUCACACCCCCCACACAUGCCACACACACACUGCAUACCACACACACAUACACAAACCACAUACCUCACAUCCCCCCACACACAAAUGCCCCCACACACACCACAUACCUCACAUACACACCAUGUACCUCACAUGCCACAUACUUCACACUUCCCCACACAUGCCACACACACAACCACAUACCACACACACACACCCCCAACACACAAACCACAUACCUCACACCCCCCCACGCAUACAUGCCCCCCACACACCAUACACACACCACAUACCUCACACACACACACACACCACACACACAACAUACCUCACACCCCCACACACAUGCCACACACACACACCACAUACACCACAUACCUCACACACACACACCAUGUACGUCGCACACAUAUCACAUACCUCACACCCCCACACACAUGCCACACACACACACACACCACACACACACCACACACACCACAUACCUCAACCUCCCACACAUGCCACACACACAUACAUACACCACUCACCAUAUACCUCACACACACACCAUGUACCUCACACACACCACAUGCACACACCACAUACCUCACACACCACACAUACCUCACACACACAUGCCUCCCACACCACAUACCUCACACACAUCCUGCAUACCUCACAUACCAAACACACACACACCACAUACCUCACACAUAUAGCACACACACAUGCCCCCAUACCACAUACCUCACACACACACCACAUACCUCACACACACACCCCACACACGUACACCACAUACCUCACACACCACACACUACAUACACAAACACAACCCACACACACCACACAUGCCACACAAACACACCACAUACCUCCAACCACAUACACACACCACAUACCUCACACACUACACACACAUACACCCCCACACACACCACACACACCACACAUACACCACACACAGACCACAUACCUUACACACACACCAAACACCACACACAUGCACCACACACACACCCCACAUACCUCACACACACACCACACACCACAUACCUUACACACACACCACAUACCACAUACCUUACACACACACCACACACCACAUACCUUACACACCACACACACCACAUACCUUACACACCACACACACCCCACACAUACACACUACAUGCCCCACACACACACCCCACAUACCUCACACAUCACACACACCACCACAUACCUCACAAACACACAUAUCUCACACACACACCACACACCCUACACCUCACACACUCCCACCCCUAACCCCCACUACACACACACACACACACACACACACUCUUUAAAGUGUGCUUUGCAUUCCAAGUCUUUGCUGGGAAACCUUGGUGGCAGCUUUCCAUGGCUGAAAUAUCAAAAGGCAGGAGCUGUGGAGUCACCGACAAUCACAUCAUCCACCUUCUCAACGCCCCCGACACUGCCACCUCACUACCCAAGAGCCACUGCCAUUCCGGACCUACACAGAGUCUGA